rnacentral:rRNA from 1 species
CCUACGGGGGGCUGCAGUGGGGAAUAUUGGACAAUGGGCGAAAGCCUGAUCCAGCCAUGCCGCGUGUGUGAAGAAGGCCUUCGGGUUGUAAAGCACUUUCAGUGGGGUAGAAAGCCUUGGGGCUAAUACCCUCGAGGAAGGACAUCACCCACAGAAGAAGCACCGGCUAACUCCGUGCCAGCAGCCGCGGUAAUACGGAGGGUGCGAGCGUUAAUCGGAAUUACUGGGCGUAAAGCGCGCGUAGGCGGUCUGAUAAGCCGGUUGUGAAAGCCCCGGGCUCAACCUGGGAACGGCAUCCGGAACUGUCAGGCUAGAGUGCAGGAGAGGAAAGUAGAAUUCCCGGUGUAGCGGUGAAAUGCGUAGAGAUCGGGAGGAAUACCAGUGGCGAAGGCGGCCUUCUGGACUGACACUGACGCUGAGGUGCGAAAGCGUGGGUAGCAAACAGGAUUAGAUACCCGAGUAGUC